rnacentral:rRNA from 1 species
GAAAGGGAUUGCUUGCAGUCCUGAGUAGAGUGGCGCACGGGUGAGUAACACGUAGAUAAUCUACCUUCAAGCCUGGAAUAACUAUUCGAAAGGAUAGCUAAUACCGGAUGAAGUUGUUCAACUCAAGUUGAAUUAUGAAAGAUUGCCUCUUCUUGAAAGCAAUUGUUUGGAGAUGAGUUUGCGGACCAUUAGUUUGUUGGUGGGGUAAAGGCCUACCAAGACUACGAUGGUUAGCUGGUCUGAGAGGAUGAUCAGCCACACUGGAACUGGUACACGGUCCAGACUCCUACGGGAGGCAGCAGUGAGGAAUUUUGCGCAAUGGGGGAAACCCUGACGCAGCAACGCCGCGUGAGUGAAGAAGGCCCUUGGGUCGUAAAGCUCUGUCGACAGGGAAGAAGUUACUUAUGUUUAAUAGAUGUAUGUAUUGACGGUACCUGUAGAGGAAGCACCGGCUAACUCCGUGCCAGCAGCCGCGGUAAUACGGGGGGUGCAAGCGUUAUUCGGAAUUAUUGGGCGUAAAGGGCGCGUAGGCGGUCUUGUCGGUCAGAUGUGAAAGCCCGGGGCUCAACCUUGGAAGUGCAUUUGAAACAGCAAGACUUGAGUACGGGAGAGGAAAGCGGAAUUCCUGGUGUAGAGGUGAAAUUCGUAGAUAUCAGGAGGAACACCGAUGGCGAAGGCAGCUUUCUGGACCGAUACUGACGCUGAGGCGCGAAGGCGUGGGUAGCGAACGGGAUUAGAUACCCCGGUAGUCCACGCAGUAAACGAUGUUCACUAGGUGUAGCGGGUAUUAAAAUCUGCUGCGCCCAAGCUAACGCAUUAAGGAACCGCC